rfam:Schistosoma haematobium scaffold946_9, whole genome shotgun sequence.
ACUCAACUGACGAGUUCAAUAUAGGACGAAACACGCUUCCUAGAU